rnacentral:rRNA from 1 species
AACGAACGCUGGCGGCGCGCCUAAUACAUGCAAGUCGAGCGAGAAGGUGUAGCAAUACACUUGUAAAGCGGCGAACGGGUGAGGAAUACAUGGGUAAUCUACCAUCGAGUGGGGAAUAACCAACCGAAAGGUUGGCUAAUACCGCGUACGCCUCCGAGUCUUCGGGUUCGGAGGGAAAGCUGCACUGUGAGUGUAGCGCUCUUUGAUGAGCUCAUGUCCUAUCAGCUUGUUGGUAGGUAACGGCCUACCAAGGCUUUGACGGGUAGCUGGUCUGAGAGGACGAUCAGCCACACUGGCACUGCGACACGGGCCAGACUCCUACGGGAGGCAGCAGUAAGGAAUAUUGCGCAAUGGGCGAAAGCCUGACGCAGCGACGCCGCGUGGGGGAUGAAGGUCUUCGGAUUGUAAACCCCUUUCGGGAGGGAAGAUGGAGCGAGCAAUCGUUCGGACGGUACCUCCAGAAGCAGCCACGGCCAACUUCGUGCCAGC